GUCCCAGACUCCUACGGGAGGCAGCAGUGGGGGAUAUUGCACAAUGGGGGAAACCCUGAUGCAGCGACGCCGCGUGUGGGAAGACGGUCCUCUGGAUUGUAAACCACUGUCCCCAGGGACGAAGAUGACGGUACCUGGGGAGGAAGCUCCGGCUAACUACGUGCCAGCAGCCGCGGUAAUACGUAGGUGGCAAGCGUUAUCCGGAUUUACUGGGUGUAAAGGGAGCGUAGACGGCUAUGCAAGUCUGGAGUGAAAGGCGGGGGCCCAACCCCCGGACUGCUCUGGAAACUGUAGAGCUAGAGUGCAGGAGAGGUAAGUGGAAUUCCUAGUGUAGCGGUGAAAUGCGUAGAUAUUAGGAGGAACACCAGUGGCGAAGGCGGCUUACUGGACAGUAACUGACGUUGAGGCUCGAAAGCGUGGGGAGCAAACAGGAUUAGAUACCCGGGUAA
rnacentral:rRNA from 1 species